rnacentral:rRNA from 1 species
AGUCGACGGAAGGCCCUUCGGGGUACUCGAGUGGCGAACGGGUGAGUAACACGUGGGUGAUCUGCCCUGCACUUUGGGAUAAGCCUGGGAAACUGGGUCUAAUACCGAAUAGGACCACGCGCUUCAUGGUGUGUGGUGGAAAGCUUUUGCGGUGUGGGAUGGGCCCGCGGCCUAUCAGCUUGUUGGUGGGGUAAUGGCCUACCAAGGCGACGACGGGUAGCCGGCCUGAGAGGGUGACCGGCCACACUGGGACUGAGAUACGGCCCAGACUCCUACGGGAGGCAGCAGUGGGGAAUAUUGCACAAUGGGCGCAAGCCUGAUGCAGCGACGCCGCGUGAGGGAUGACGGCCUUCGGGUUGUAAACCUCUUUCAAUAGGGACGAAGCGCAAGUGACGGUACCUAUAGAAGAAGCACCGGCCAACUACGUGCCAGCAGCCGCGGUAAUACGUAGGGUGCGAGCGUUGUCCGGAAUUACUGGGCGUAAAGAGCUCGUAGGUGGUUUGUCGCGUUGUUCGUGAAAACUCACAGCUUAACUGUGGGCGUGCGGGCGAUACGGGCAGACUAGAGUACUGCAGGGGAGACUGGAAUUCCUGGUGUAGCGGUGGAAUGCGCAGAUAUCAGGAGGAACACCGGUGGCGAAGGCGGGUCUCUGGGCAGUAACUGACGCUGAGGAGCGAAAGCGUGGGGAGCGAACAGGAUUAGAUACCCUGGUAGUCCACGCCGUANACGGUGGGUACUAGGUGUGGGNNNCNUCCUUGGGAUCCGUGCCGUAGCUAACNNNNNNNGUACCCCGCC